UACGUAGGGUGCAAGCGUUGUCCGGAAUUAUUGGGCGUAAAGAGCUCGUAGGCGGCUUGUUGCGUCGACUGUGAAAACCCGCGGCUCAACCGUGUGGUCUGCAGUCGAUACGGGCAGGCUAGAAUUCGGUAGGGGACCACGGAAUUCCUGGUGUAGCGGUGGAAAUGCGCAGAUAUCAGGAGGAACACCAGUGGCGAAGGCGGUGGUCUGGGCCGAUACUGACGCUGUAGAGCGAAAGCGUGGGGGAGCGAACAGG
rnacentral:rRNA from 1 species